rnacentral:sRNA from 1 species
GGACCACGCCUUUCAGGCAUCCUCUCCUAAAAACUUUCAUGGCCGAUCCCUUUCGGGGUCGGCCUUUUUUCUUGCGUGU